rnacentral:rRNA from 1 species
GUCCUGGCCCUAAACGGUGUUCACUUGCCGUAGGGGAUUCGACCCCUUCUGUGGCGAAGCGAAAGCAUUAAGUGAACCGCCUGGGGAGUACGGUCGCAAGAUUAAAACUCAAAGGAAUUGACGGGGCCCGCACAAGCGGUGGAGCAUGUGGCUUAAUUCGAUGCAACGCGAAGAACCUUACCUGGCCUUGACAUCUAACGUGAAAGUCGGUGAAAGCCGAUGACGGCCCGAAAGGGUGCUGGGGUUAGACAGGUGCUGCAUGGUUGUCGU